AGAAAAAAAAAAGAAAAUUGAAUAUAAUAAUAAUAAUAAUAAUAAUAAUAACAACAACAAUAAAACAAACAAACAAACAAACAAACAUGAUAAGAAAACGAUGUAACGAUUAAUAUAGAAUAAUUUUAAGAACGAGUUAUUAAGUAUAUAUAAACCGAGCAGCGUCAAGCUGCAAAAGAUGUAUUUGUCAUUUGAUAUGAUGUGAGAAUAGAUUCGUGGCGCGAGGCGCGUAUAGACUGACUGAGUAGUGAAAAGACACACACUCAUGGUGCACUGUACUGCUAUUUAUUGUGUAUUGUAUUCACUACACAACGUCACUGCUCUUCUCGGCUUUAGUUCGAAGUUAAUGAUUUGUAGACGAGGAAGUCCCUGCGUUCAGUGUUUCAAUCAACGCGCGAGUCGUCAUUUUGACAAAACGAAAGUAACUAAUGCAGAGAGGUGAAAAAAAGACGCUGAGGAUGUCAGGGGAGAGAAAUGUUUGAAGAAUUUUUGGGAAUUGUUUCGAAACGAGAAGUCGAAAGGAGCAGUGGUUUAAGCACACUACGAUAUUGAAUAAUAAUAUUAUUAUACUGAGAGAGAGACGAGAAAGCUGUUCGAGAGGAUUAAUUUAUCUCUGUACGCAUAUGUGAUAAGGUACCACGAUUACGAUAUAACGUCGUGUAUAAAGAGGAAACAUUGAUGAUGAUAUAUAAGGAAGAAAAAAAGAGAGAAAGAAAAUAGCGUGAGAGAGAGAGAAUAAAAGAAAGGAAGAAAAAGAAGAAGAAGAGACAAAAAACAAGAAAAACUGCCGUCUACGUAUGUGUGUGCAAAGUGAAACAACCGUCUAUCUAAUCUCGACGAUUAACAUUCGUUUCCGUUGACUGAAAUUAGGGCGAAUACUAUAUUAUCUGAAUUAAAAGAUCAGAUAGA